rnacentral:rRNA from 1 species
UACGUAGGGUGCGAGCGUUGUCCGGAAUUAUUGGGCGUAAAGAGCUCGUAGGCGGUCUGUCGCGUCUGCUGUGAAAACCCGAGGCUCAACCUCGGGCCUGCAGUGGGUACGGGCAGACUAGAGUGCGGUAGGGGAGAAUGGAAUUCCUGGUGUAGCGGUGGAAUGCGCAGAUAUCAGGAGGAACACCUGUGGCGAAGGCGGGUCUCUGGGCCGAUACUGACGCUGAGGAGCGAAAGCGUGGGGAGCGAACAGG